CCUGAUCACUCUUGAACUCUCAACGUCGAGACCCGUUUCCUCGACCCAGAAACCCGUGCCGGCAACCCGAUUCCGUCCCCAUCUUCCGGCCACGACACAGUGGCGAACCGACCCCCUUUCUAUUCGUCUCCUCAACGCCGACGUCCUCCUGGUCACGGAUUGUCCGUUGGACAACGGAAGGCGACAAAAUGAGGUUGAGAAACCGCUGCAACUCCGGCGACUCCGGUCACCAUUGUUGAUGCAUGAGGUAUGAAACAUGCUCUUCUCUUCGUGCUCUACAUUGGUGUAAAUGGAUUUUGGAAUUGAUCGAGUUUUGUUGGAUUGGUGUUUUGGGUGUUGUCGGCUGAUGUCGAGGCUACUGUUCCGGCAGAGUGUUCCAGAGUUCUUUGAUUCAAUUUUGAUGAUAAUUCUGGUCCUAGAACGAGCAGCGAGAUGUGGGUUGCAUUGAAAUUCAGAAUUGGUGUGGUGGAGCACAGUCGGGUAGCAGAACAAAGAGUUCGAAAAUCCGUCAAGUUUGAUAGUGAAAAGUCUGGUUUUGUUCGUACUGGAACAAGACAUAGACAUGCAAAGGGAGAGAGAUUCAGAAGCUUGCCAGAGUUGGUAAUUGGGUUUGAGUAUUCCUAUCUCAAUUGGUUGUGCACUGAUCUUUGGUUGUGCUUAUAGCAUAGGAUUUCAACUUGGAGGUUUUAAAGACGAAUUGUAUAAUUGGAGGAGGGCUGUCCUAGUUCAUUUUGAGUUCCACGGUGAAGAAUGGGAGAGUGAUGGCGAAAUGUAUAAAGGAUGCAGAACCUCGGUGGGCUAAGAACUCCAACAAUUGCAAUGGAAAAAGUAUUCAUGGUAAGUUGGGAGUUUGUAUGUAAUCCUAUAUUUAAGUUAAAUUUAAGAAAAGUAGUAACGUGAUUGAGGAGGAAAAGUGAUGUUUGUCUGGGAAUAAA